AACCUAUCUCUACCUACAAAAAUAAUCUGUAUUGAAGCAGUUAUUUCUUACAUAUUCACUCAACUAUAAUAUCUAAAUAUUCAAAAAUAUAAAUUUAUUAUUAUUGUUUUAUAUAAAAUUUAGAUUAAAAAAAAAUAUAAAACAUACUUCAACUAUUAUCUAUUUAACCCGACUAUUUUAUCUUUGAAAAUUUUAAUUUUACUGAUUUUUUAAUUUAUUUGAUUUACACCGGUCGGUAACUCUUUAACUUUAAAAUUUGAAUAUAUUUACAUAUUUAGCUGGUAUAUUUUAUGUAAUUCACAUAACUAUAAUUUAAUUAAUAUGCGAAGAAUAAUCAAAUGACUUAAAUUAAGUAAAUUAAAAGUAGUAAAAUCAAAAUAGUA
rnacentral:lncRNA from 1 species